rnacentral:rRNA from 1 species
CACGUAGGGUGCGAGCGUUGUCCGGAAUUAUUGGGCGUAAAGAGCUCGUAGGCGGUGUGUCGCGUCGGCCGUGAAAACCUGCAGCUUAACUGUGGGCUUGCGGUCGAUACGGGCAUCACUGGAGUUCGGCAGGGGAGACUGGAAUUCCUGGUGUAGCGGUGAAAUGCGCAGAUAUCAGGAGGAACACCGGUGGCGAAGGCGGGUCUCUGGACCGUGUCCUGACGCU